UUAAGUCAAAUUUGUAUGGAGCUGGACUCUAGGGGCCUCACUGUUCCAGCGGCAUACAAAUUUCAGGUA
rnacentral:pre_miRNA from 1 species